rnacentral:lncRNA from 1 species
AAAAUAUGUUUGAAGAUAAUGUGUCUCGAGUAUAAUUUCAAAUGUUUGUAACGACCCUGGGUUUAUAAGCGCGGAUAUCGACUCUGCCGCUUGAGCAUGCUUUUGCGGCACAGUCGAUAGCGCGCUGGACUUCGGGCUAGAAGGUCAAGGGUUCGAGACCUGCUCCCUGCUGUUUCAUUACAAGACGUUGAGUCGCAAGCUAGCGCGAGGGGCUAGUGCUCUGCCAUAGUUGAAUUUGAACUUUUAGAUUUGUAUCAUUUUACUUCAGAUUUUUAUGAUUAACCACAGGACAAUGAUUUAGAGAAACGAAAACGUUAUUAUUGAAAUUAAACUUCCACGAAAAUGUGCAUAUAUAAAUAUCGGUAGAAAUGGCAGGAUAAAUUGUAAGCUUCCCCAAACUUGAAACUCAUGAGCCGCCUAAAUGCGUGCAAGCGCGUGAACACAUAGGACGUCUUGUGAAAGAAACGGGCCCACCUCAAAUACUCCUCCAACUUGUCUUGUUUUGUACGCUUUGUACAAAAUAAUAAAACGCAGAACUACAGGAUGUUUCUUAACAUAACUCUUUAUUAAUUAACUAGCUACAACUGCAUGUUCGCCUAUCUCCAACCACGAUCAACUGACCAUGGCCUAACCGUCUGGGUGGUCUUAACCAAUCACCGCACAGUAGGAUACGGCGGUAAAAUGCAUCCAAUUAUAAUUCGGUAUGUAUUCACAUAUGAAUAUUACAUCCCCCUUCUUUUAAAACAAAAUACAAAUGUUUUACAUAUUCUAAGCUUUUCUUUUGAAUACAUGCUCUGUAGUUUGAACAAAAGGUAAGUAACCAUUUAUAUUGCAUAAUACACCAACUGAAUCAACAUAGACUCUGAAACAAUGAUCCAACAUACUGUUACUUUUCAAACAAGGGAUUCUCAGCAACUCAGCUUUCACUGUAGAAAUGACAUCUUAACAUUUCAAACAAAUACAAUACCAAAGCAUGUCAAGUGAACUUUCAAUAACAAGUUUACAGUCUGGAACUCUUUUAGGGCAGCGAUCCGCCUACACCCUUUGACAUUUCACAGGUCGAGGACAGCUCUGGGCUUGACCUCUCUUCCUGACCUUGUGCGAUAUGAUGUUGAGCAUGCUUCUGUGUCAGUCAACAGCUCUUGUGGUGUUGCAG